rnacentral:rRNA from 1 species
GGGUUGUGAGGUUAAGCGACUAAGCGUACACGGUGGAUGCCCUGGCAGUCAGAGGCGAUGAAGGACGUGCUAAUCUGCGAUAAGCGUCGGUAAGGUGAUAUGAACCGUUAUAACCGGCGAUUUCCGAAUGGGGAAACCCAGUGUGUUUCGACACACUAUCAUUAACUGAAUCCAUAGGUUAAUGAGGCGAACCGGGGGAACUGAAACAUCUAAGUACCCCGAGGAAAAGAAAUCAACCGAGAUUCCCCCAGUAGCGGCGAGCGAACGGGGAGCAGCCCAGAGCCUGAAUCAGUGUGUGUGUUAGUGGAAGCGUCUGGAAAGGCGUGCGAUACAGGGUGACAGCCCCGUACACAAAAAUGCACAUGCUGUGAGCUCGAUGAGUAGGGCGGGACACGUGGUAUCCUGUCUGAAUAUGGGGGGACCAUCCUCCAAGGCUAAAUACUCCUGACUGACCGAUAGUGAACCAGUACCGUGAGGGAAAGGCGAAAAGAACCCCGGCGAGGGGAGUGAAAAAGAACCUGAAACCGUGUACGUACAAGCAGUGGGAGCCUCUUUAUGGGGUGACUGCGUACCUUUUGUAUAAUGGGUCAGCGACUUAUAUUCUGUAGCAAGGUUAACCGAAUAGGGGAGCCGAAGGGAAACCGAGUCUUAACUGGGCGUUAAGUUGCAGGGUAUAGACCCGAAACCCGGUGAUCUAGCCAUGGGCAGGUUGAAGGUUGGGUAACACUAACUGGAGGACCGAACCGACUAAUGUUGAAAAAUUAGCGGAUGACUUGUGGCUGGGGGUGAAAGGCCAAUCAAACCGGGAGAUAGCUGGUUCUCCCCGAAAGCUAUUUAGGUAGCGCCUCGUGAAUUCAUCUCCGGGGGUAGAGCACUGUUUCGGCAAGGGGGUCAUCCCGACUUACCAACCCGAUGCAAACUGCGAAUACCGGAGAAUGUUAUCACGGGAGACACACGGCGGGUGCUAACGUCCGUCGUGAAGAGGGAAACAACCCAGACCGCCAGCUAAGGUCCCAAAGUCAUGGUUAAGUGGGAAACGAUGUGGGAAGGCCCAGACAGCCAGGAUGUUGGCUUAGAAGCAGCCAUCAUUUAAAGAAAGCGUAAUAGCUCACUGGUCGAGUCGGCCUGCGCGGAAGAUGUAACGGGGCUAAACCAUGCACCGAAGCUGCGGCAGCGACACUAUGUGUUGUUGGGUAGGGGAGCGUUCUGUAAGCCUGUGAAGGUGUGCUGUGAGGCAUGCUGGAGGUAUCAGAAGUGCGAAUGCUGACAUAAGUAACGAUAAAGCGGGUGAAAAGCCCGCUCGCCGGAAGACCAAGGGUUCCUGUCCAACGUUAAUCGGGGCAGGGUGAGUCGACCCCUAAGGCGAGGCCGAAAGGCGUAGUCGAUGGGAAACAGGUUAAUAUUCCUGUACUUGGUGUUACUGCGAAGGGGGGACGGAGAAGGCUAUGUUGGCCGGGCGACGGUUGUCCCGGUUUAAGCGUGUAGGCUGGUUUUCCAGGCAAAUCCGGAAAAUCAAGGCUGAGGCGUGAUGACGAGGCACUACGGUGCUGAAGCAACAAAUGCCCUGCUUCCAGGAAAAGCCUCUAAGCAUCAGGUAACAUCAAAUCGUACCCCAAACCGACACAGGUGGUCAGGUAGAGAAUACCAAGGCGCUUGAGAGAACUCGGGUGAAGGAACUAGGCAAAAUGGUGCCGUAACUUCGGGAGAAGGCACGCUGAUAUGUAGGUGAAGCGACUUGCUCGUGGAGCUGAAAUCAGUCGAAGAUACCAGCUGGCUGCAACUGUUUAUUAAAAACACAGCACUGUGCAAACACGAAAGUGGACGUAUACGGUGUGACGCCUGCCCGGUGCCGGAAGGUUAAUUGAUGGGGUCAGCGCAAGCGAAGCUCUUGAUCGAAGCCCCGGUAAACGGCGGCCGUAACUAUAACGGUCCUAAGGUAGCGAAAUUCCUUGUCGGGUAAGUUCCGACCUGCACGAAUGGCGUAAUGAUGGCCAGGCUGUCUCCACCCGAGACUCAGUGAAAUUGAACUCGCUGUGAAGAUGCAGUGUACCCGCGGCAAGACGGAAAGACCCCGUGAACCUUUACUAUAGCUUGACACUGAACAUUGAGCCUUGAUGUGUAGGAUAGGUGGGAGGCUUUGAAGUGUGGACGCCAGUCUGCAUGGAGCCGACCUUGAAAUACCACCCUUUAAUGUUUGAUGUUCUAACGUGGACCCGUUAUCCGGGUUGCGGACAGUGUCUGGUGGGUAGUUUGACUGGGGCGGUCUCCUCCUAAAGAGUAACGGAGGAGCACGAAGGUUGGCUAAUCCUGGUCGGACAUCAGGAGGUUAGUGCAAUGGCAUAAGCCAGCUUGACUGCGAGCGUGACGGCGCGAGCAGGUGCGAAAGCAGGUCAUAGUGAUCCGGUGGUUCUGAAUGGAAGGGCCAUCGCUCAACGGAUAAAAGGUACUCCGGGGAUAACAGGCUGAUACCGCCCAAGAGUUCAUAUCGACGGCGGUGUUUGGCACCUCGAUGUCGGCUCAUCACAUCCUGGGGCUGAAGUAGGUCCCAAGGGUAUGGCUGUUCGCCAUUUAAAGUGGUACGCGAGCUGGGUUUAGAACGUCGUGAGACAGUUCGGUCCCUAUCUGCCGUGGGCGCUGGAGAACUGAGGGGGGCUGCUCCUAGUACGAGAGGACCGGAGUGGACGCAUCACUGGUGUUCGGGUUGUCAUGCCAAUGGCACUGCCCGGUAGCUAAAUGCGGAAGAGAUAAGUGCUGAAAGCAUCUAAGCACGAAACUUGCCCCGAGAUGAGUUCUCCCUGAGACUUUAAGUCUCCUGAAGGAACGUUGAAGACGACGACGUUGAUAGGCCGGGUGUGUAAGCGCAGCGAUGCGUUGAGCUAACCGGUACUAAUGAACCGUGAGGCUUAACCUUACAACGCCGAAG